AUGGCCAAGAUCCGAGAGAGGAAGACGAGGGAUAUUGGCCAAGUCAAAUGCAUCAAGGACGGAGCAGGCCAACUCUUGGUGAAGGACGAGGAGAUUAAGUAUAGAUGGCGGGAGUACUUCGACAAGCUGUUCAAUGGGGAGAAUGAGAGUUCUACCAUUGAACUGGACGACUCCUUUGAUGAGACCAGCAUGCGUUUUGUGCGGCGAAUCCAGGAGUCUGAGGUCAAGGAGGCUUUAAAAAGGAUGAAAGGAGGCAAGGCGAUGGGCCCUGAUUGUAUCCCCAUUGAGGUGUGGAAAGGUCUCGGGGACAUAGCGACAGUAUGGCUAACCAAGCUUUUCAACCUCAUUUUUCGGGCAAACAAGAUGCCAGAAGAAUGGAGACGGAGUAUAUUAGUACCAAUCUUCAAGAACAAGGGGGAUGUUCAGAGUUGUACUAAUUACUGUGGAAUUAAGCGGAUGAGCCAUACAAUGAAGCUAUGGGAGAGAGUCAUUGAGCACCGCUUAAGAAGAAUGACAAGCGUGACCAAAAAUCGGUUUGGUUUCAUGCCUGGGAGGUCGACCAUGGAAGCCAUUUUCUUGGUACGACAACUUAUGGAGAGAUAUAGGGAGCAAAAGAAGGACUUGCAUAUGGUGUUCAUUGACUUGGACAAGGCCUAUGAUAAGAUACCACGGAAUGUCAUGUGGUGGGCCUUGGAGAAACACAAAGUCCCAGCAAAGUACAUUACCCUCAUCAAGGACAUGUACGAUAAUGUUGUGACAAGUGUUCGAACAAGUGAUGUCGACGCUGAUGACUUCCCAAUUAAGAUAGGACUGCAUCAGGGGUCAGCUUUGAGCCCUUAUCUUUUUGCAUUGGUGAUGGAUGAGGUCACAAGGGAUAUACAAGAAGAUAUCCCAUGGUGCAUGCUCUUUGCGGAUGAUGUGGUGCUAGUUGAUGAUAGUCGGACGGGGGUAAAUAGGAAGUUAGAGUUAUGGAGACAAAACUUGGAAUCGAAAGGGUUUAGGCUUAGUAGAACUAAAACCGAGUACAUGAUGUGCGGUUUCAGUGCUACUAGGUGUGAGGAGGAGGAGGUUAGCCUUGAUGGCCAGGUGGUUCCCCAGAAGGACACCUUUCGGUAUUUGGGGUCAAUGCUGCAGGGGGAUGGGGGUAUUGAUGAAGAUGUGAACCAUCGAAUCAAAGCCGGAUGGAUGAAGUGGCGCCAAGCUUCUGGCAUUCUCUGUGACAAAAGAGUGCCACAAAAGCUAAAAGGCAAGUUCUACAGGACGGCGGUUCGACCCGCAAUGUUGUAUGGCGCUGAGUGUUGGCCGACUAAAAGGCGACAUGUUCAACAGUUAGGUGUGGCGGAGAUGCGUAUGUUGAGAUGGAUGUGUGGCCACACGAGGAAGGAUCGAGUCCGGAAUGAUGAUAUACGAGAUAGAGUUGGGGUAGCACCAAUUGAAGAGAAGCUUGUCCAACAUCGUCUGAGAUGGUUUGGGCAUAUUCAGCGCAGGCCUCCAGAAGCUCCAGUGCAUAGCGGACGGCUAAAGCGUGCGGAGAAUGUCAAGAGAGGGCGGGGUAGACCGAAUUUGACAUGGGAGGAGUCCGUUAAGAGAGACCUGAAGGAUUGGAGUAUCACCAAAGAGCUAGCUAUGGACAGGGGUGCGUGGAAGCUUGCUAUCCAUGUUAAGAGAGACCUGAAGGAUUGGAGUGUCACCAAAGAGCUAGCUAUGGACAGGGGUGCGUGGAAGCUUGCUAUCCAUGUGCCAGAGCCAUGA
rnacentral:rRNA from 1 species